rnacentral:rRNA from 1 species
GACGAACGCUGGCGGCGUGCUUAACACAUGCAAGUCGAGCGGAAAGGCCACUUCGGUGGUACUCGAGCGGUGAACGGGUGAGUAACACGUGAGUAAUCUGCCCUUGGCUUUGGGAUAGCCACCGGAAACGGUGAUUAAUACCGGAUAUGACCACGUCUCGCAUGGGGUGUGGUGGAAAGUUUUUCGGCCAGGGAUGUGCUCGCGGCCUAUCAGCUUGAUGGUGAGGUAAUGGCUCACCAUGGCUUCGACGGGUAGCCGGCCUGAGAGGGUGACCGGUCACACUGGGACUGAGACACGGCCCAGACUCCUACGGGAGGCAGCAGUGGGGAAUAUUGGACAAUGGGCGGAAGCCUGAUCCAGCAACGCCGCGUGAGGGAUGACGGCCUUCGGGUUGUAAACCUCUUUCAGUAGGGACGAAGCGUGAGUGACGGUACCUACAGAAGAAGCACCGGCCAACUACGUGCCAGCAGCCGCCGUAACAC